GUAUCGUGCGAUUAAUCGUGUUUUAUUCGUGUCAAAAGUGCGUAAUCAAUGUAUAAUAAGUACGAAUUUUCGUCGGGAAUGCCGAUUAAAGUGACGGGUGAUUAUCAGAAUAUAUUGAUUCUCGGGAUUAUCUGCGAUUAACGGCGUUUCGUCGAUCGUUAGCGAUGUAUGGAUUGAAGCCAAUGUGAUUCUAAUAAUUACAAAUUUCGAUGCCGCAAAUGUAUGAAAAUGACGCCUGUAAUUGCUUCAGAGAGCAUCAAAAUAUUAAUGCACGGUGAUCAUUUUUGCAUGAUUGUCAAGAUGAUCGUUAUUUGUUUCGUUGGACAAAAGUGUGGACAGUCCCGAACGAAUUACCGAAUAUGUAAGGUAAUGAUAUUCGCGAACGCGUUGCGGAAUAAAGUGCUUUUUUUUGCGUUCACGUUUUGUGUAUUGUGGUGUGUUUUGUGUAUUGUGGUGUGUGUUUUGUGUAUCGUGGUGUGCAAGUUAGCGAUAUAAUCCUCUUUGUAAUUUUUGCAUUUUUUCAAAAGUAAAGUGCGUAGUUGAGUUAAUUAAUAAAAGAGUUCAUUUUCGUCUAAUAAUGUGUGAGUGAGUGUUAGUGUCCAGUAUUCGUCAUUCUUCGAUGAAACUGAUGCGGAGCAGUCUAAGAAGGCAUCUACAGCAGGAAAAGCAAACUACAAUACUCUAGUUAGUGCAGCUAUAAGCGUACUUAGCUAGAGUACAACGACCGGUGAGUGAAUUUAUUCAUUAUCUAUGCAUAAUUAAAUGAAAUAUUGAUAUCAUUAGCUGGUUUUUUAUUCACCAAUAAUUAUUAAUCACUGCACUUUAACAAUCUUACCCUUGUUUUAAAUAAAAUA